CAGGUUUGAAGCGCGGUAAUGAGGUAGUUGGUCCGUGCCCCUGGGUGGAGAGGUACUCUGGGUAAAGAUGGACCAUGGGGGCGGGGCAGACAGUUUUGAAGCGCGGCAAUGAGGUAGUUGGUCCGUGCCCCUGGGUGGAGAGGUACUCUGGGUAAAGAUGGACCAUGGGGGCGGGGCAGACAGUUUUGAAGCGUGGCAAUGAGGUAGUUGGUCCAGCCAUGCAUCAGAGUGAGGGUAACCACUACAGUGCCCUCUUGAAUUUCGCGCAAUCCGAGUUUCACGAUCCUCGAGUUUUGCGCUUGGUCCUAAAUUCUCACUAUCCUGAUUUUUGUGCAUUACCGCCCUGAGUUUCUCGCUGCUCAGACUUUUUUUUUUUUCCUCCCCAUCUCCGCCUGUAGCGCCGGUAGGCUUUCUUCAGGGGCCUGGUGGUCGGUCCAAGCCCGUCAUGGCGCAACAGUGUCCCACAGGUGAUGUUCUGGAAAUUUACCCAGUUCUCUGACAGGGUUUGGGUAAACACUCUUGUCCUCCCGUCUUUGAAGCCACCAGGCUCAGGACAUUUCAGGAGCCCAAAUGUGGAGCCCUCUAAAGCCUAGGUCCCCAACCCAAAUGACCUCGAGGGUCGCAUUGCCCAUUCCCCGUCAGCCCGUGGGCCACAUCCAAAAAACACCACCACCACCUUUAAUAUAAAAUAUGAUAUAUGGACGUCUAGAGCAGGGGAGAGACACUGAAAACUGAAUGGCCGAGGCCCCCUUAUAAAGCCGAAAAGUGCGCCAUAGUGGACGCUGAUUGGCCGGCUUAACAGCGCACGCUCAUUGGCUCUCAGCACUGCAGAAAUUUAAAAAGUUGUAAACCGGUCAUGUGCCCACAGUCUGCACCGCGGGCCACAGAAACGAUCCUGGAGCCCUUCGGCAGGCCGCACCUAAUGUUGAAUGAUGUAAAGUCCCGCGGGCCGCACCAAGGGUGCUCGCGGGCCGCAGGUUGGGGACCUAUGCUCUAAAGGUUAAAGGUUACCCCUGGCCUGGGUGUAUGGGCUGGUGCCCCAUCUGUACCACACAGCUGCUCCCAAAACAAGGGUGUGUUGGGAUUUCUUAGUAGGUGAAUAUAGUCAGAAGUGGCAGCCAGUCACCUUGUAUCAAUGUCUGUUUCCUUACAGAUGGAGGAAGGCAACGUUGAGCUGAUGUCUGCCCUCACUGAGGCCACCAAGUGUGUGGAGGAGUUUAGGUCUGCAGAGUGACUCCAGUCCUCAGGCGGGCCAAGGCUUCAGAGGAUACCAGGCUGAGGAUCAAUGGGGAUUCAGUUCUUACUUCCGGACUUUAUAUUUUCUAAGGCUUAUGGAUUUACGCCUUUAUAUUUCCUAAGGCUUACGGUUAUACUAUAGUGUUACGUAGUGUUGUCGGGAGCAUUUAUUGGUGCAGCAGUUACUUGCAUCCUGAGUGUUGCAGGGUGUGGCUGUUACUCUGCACUCGUGUACCCAGGCAGGUUUUUACACACCUUUUCAGGCACUUGUGUACCCAGGCAGGUUUUUACACACCUUUUCAGGCACUUGUGUACCCAGGCAGGUUUUUACACACCUUUUCAGGCACUUGUGUACCCAGGCAGGUU